ACUCAAAUGAAUUGACGGGGACCCGCACAAGCAGCGGAGCAUGUGGUUUAAUUCGACGAAACGCGAAGAACCUUACCUGGGCUUGACAUGUACCUGAUCGCCGUGGAAACACGGUUUCCCUCACGGGCAGGUUCACAGGUGGUGCAUGGCUGUCGUCAGCUCGUGUCGUGAGAUGUUGGGUUAAGUCCCGCAACGAGCGCAACCCCCGUCGCAUGUUGCCAGCAUUUAGUUGGGGACUCAUGCGAGACUGCCGGUGACAAACCGGAGGAAGGUGGGGAUGACGUCAAGUCAUCAUGCCCCUUAUGUCCAGGGCUACACACGUGCUACAUUGGCCGGUACAGAGGGCUGCGAUACCGCGAGGUGGAGCGAAUCCCAAAAAGCCGGUCUUGGUUCGGAUUGGAGGCUGAAACUCGCCUUCAUGAAGGUGGAGUUGCUAGUAAUCCCGGAUCAGCAACGCCGGGGUGAAUACGUUCCCGGGUCUUGCACACACCGCCCGU
rnacentral:rRNA from 1 species